rnacentral:rRNA from 1 species
CGGAGGGUGCAAGCGUUAAUCGGAAUUACUGGGCGUAAAGCGCGCGUAGGCGGUUUGAUAAGCGGAGUGUGAAAUCCCCGGGCUUAACCUGGGAACUGCAUUCCGAACUGUCAAGCUAGAGUAUGGUAGAGGGUGGCGGAAUUCCGAGUGUAGCGGUGAAAUGCGUAGAUAUUCGGAGGAACACCAGUGGCGAAGGCGGCCACCUGGACCAAUACUGACGCUGAGGCGCGAAAGCGUGGGGAGCAAACAGGAUUAGAUACCCUGGUAGUCCACGCUGUAAACGAUGUCAACUAGCCGUUGGAGUCUUUAAGGCUUUAGUGGUGCAGCUAACGCGAUAAGUUGACCGCCUGGGGAGUACGGUCGCAAGAUUA